GUCACCUGUGCGGCCCCACGUACCUGCUCUUGUGUCUUAAUUUAUAGAAACAGUAUGACAUUUCACACCUCCACUACUUGUCAUUUUGAAAGUAUAUGUUUGAAGUCAAUGACAUGCUGGCCAAUGCAGCAGUGCUCAUUUCCUCUUUAUGCUCUCUGCACAGCUCAGCACUCACAUGUGCCACGGUUCCGUUUCUAUCACGUGUUUCCCCAAACCUUCGUAGUGUGGAACAGCCGUGGAUCUGAUGCUCACUCCAAGUCAGGGAUGGCUUCUCUCCAAUUCCUGAAAUCUGGGUCUCCUCUGGAAGACUCAAAGCCGGGGGCCGGGGUGGUGGACUCUUCUCAAAGCCCAUUUGAUCUUUUAUCCAAAAGCUGAUGCUGGCUGUGCACUCAGGGACCCUUGCUUGGGGCCUCCCUAUGUGACCUGGGCCUCCUCACAGCACGGGUUCCCAGGACAAGUGGAGGAGGCCGGAGACCGAGGGAGAGAGAAAGAGAGAGAGUGAGAAGAAAGAGAACCCUCUGCUAUACUUAUUGAUUGGAGCAGUCACAGCUCUCAUCAAGGUUCAAGGGAAGGGACAUGGACCCAGCUCUCAGUAGGAAGAAUGUGGAAGUCACAUUGUCAGACUGAACAAUGAGAAAUACCGUUGCGGUCAUUCAUUCAGCCCAGGUGCCACAGGGCAGCUUAUUCCCCUGGUGGGAGAUCUAUCUGUAGGCUGCUUCCUAUCUGUAGGCUGACUCUCCGCUUUUGCAAAUAACAUUGGAAUGAACAGACCAGUCCAUCUUCCUGUAAGAGCCUGAGUUUUUCUGGGGAUGAAUGCCCGAGAAUGGGAAUCCUGGGGCGAUGGAUCUAUACAGACUCACCUUCGUGAAGCACUUCAGAAUCAUCCUCCACAAGAGCUGUAUCUAUUUCUGUUUCCUCACAUCUUCGCCAGCACUUGGUCUCAUCUGACUUUUAUACAUGUGACGCUGUGACAGGAAACCGCCUGGAGGAUGGAUGCUCUGGUGAUGACUUUCAGAAGUGUGAUGCCAAAAUCAGGCACUGGAGGUAGACUGGCCUUGCACUCAGCCACAGCCCGCUGGACGCCAGCCUCUCCCGGUCUCCAUGAAGAUACGUGAAGCUGUGGUCACUUUAAGGCUCCGGGUGUGGGAAUAUCUGGUUUUAAUAUCAAGAGCACCUCGAGGUGGGUAGGUUUUGGUUUCCACAAUGGAGCACAGAUUUGUGCUCUGAGUUCCCCAAAUCACGGGGGACCUGCAGCCGUCUCAGGCUGCCGGUGACCUUGAUUAGAAGUGACUUGGGGCUGGAGGAACAAGUCUGGAACACAGGGCUAGGGCAGCCACGGUGGAGAGAGCCUUUUCCCAAGGAGCCAGAGGGAAGUUUCUGGAAACCACAGCCGGCCAGCACAGGAACCCCACCCGUCUAGACGCUUGGCCCUGUUGGUCUUAGAAUGGAUGCCGUGACCCAACGGGACUUCCUUGCAGCGGGGGAGCACAUGCUCAUGCUCGGGGUGCUGGGGAAAUGUUUGGCCCAGGCAUCCCUGGUUAAGUCUGGAGGAAAAUUCCAGGCUUAGCAAUCCUUUCCGUAGGAGGGUCUUGGGAGGGCUGCAGGAGGUGGGCAGGGAACAAGCCCCCCACCCAACAUCGGAGGCGGGCAGAAGUCAGAAGCUUCAACAGGUUUGGCAGCCACUUUCCACCUGAGCCUGGCUGUAGACUCCGUGCUGGGCUCCUCGUGGAUGCUCAGAAAACCCCACAAGGACUUGUGGGGCCUGAUGAUGUCCCCCAUUCACCCCCCUCCCCCGCCCCAGCUUAUUCCCUGCGCAGGAUUUGUAAUUUCAAACAAUGGAAACACCCUUCAUGUGGAUCAGAAGCUGUGACGCACACAGGCGUUCAUCGUCACACUGGUGCGUUAUGCAGCUGGGAGAAAGAAUGGGGUGCACUUGUUAUGCGGCCACCCCGAGGACCCAUUGAGGUAAUCAGACAAGUAGAGGACAGGAAGUGAGUAAAGGGUGGGGGGUUAAUGUCCAUUGGUACCUACGUCAACAUAAGAACCAUGUGUCGACGUAUGCAUUGACGGUUGAUGAUGUGUGCCUCUAUCAUGGGUUGAAUUGUGUCCUAAAAUUCACAUGUUGAAGUCCUAACCCCCAGAACCUCAGAAGGUGACGUUAUUUGGAAAUAGGGUGGUUGCGGAUGUAAUUAGUUCAGAUGAGGUCAUGCUGGAGAUGGGUGGGCUCUGAUCCAACAUGACUGGUGUUCUUAUAACAAGGGAAAACGUGGACACAGACACGCACCCAGGGAGAUGCCGUGGGAAGGUGGAGGCGGAGGUGGGGACAGUGCUGCCACAGCCAGGGACCCACCAGAGGCUGCAGAAAGGCCUGGGCCUCAUCUUUCCCUAGAGCCUCAGAGAGAGCCUGGCUCUGCCCACAGCCUGAUGUUGGCUUCCAGAACCGUGAGAGAAUACAGUCCUGUGGCUCUAAGGCACCCAGCAUUCCUUGGCUCCUGCAGCCCCCGGACAAGGUUAUCUGUGGGCAGGGAUGAGAGAACCUCGCUGGAGCAGAACCGGGUGCUGGAAACAGAGGUGGGACGACCUCUGCCUCUCUGCGCUGUUCAGAACUUCAU
rnacentral:lncRNA from 10 species